AAAAAUUGCAGGAGAGGUUAUCUCAGCCGGAGAACUCAAACGGAAGGGUAUCGGAGCCUUACAAAUUGAGUGAUGUGACUGUGAGGCGUGAAUCUAAUCGUGUUGUAGAUCUGUUGGAGCCGAUCAAGAGUCCUACUCCUGCGUUGAGGGUGUCAGUGUAUAAGUAGUGAAAGUGUUUGCAGUUUUAGGAUUUUUUAUGCAGUUUGAAGAUGACAAUUUGGAGUUUGCAAAGACUGUGAAGCAGUGGAAUGUAAAGAUUAUCUCAGUGAGGACUGUUUUUCUUGAUCUGGUUGGUUGUUUUGAUCUUAGUUAUGUUGAAUGGGAUAUGAGUAUAUCAAUGUCUGUGACCAUUUAUUAUUAAGAUUUGAUGUGAA